AUUGAACGCUGGCGGCAGGCUUAACACAUGCAAGUCGAGCGAGCGGCGGACGGGUGAGUAAUGUAUGGGGAACUGCCUGAUGGAGGGGGAUAACUACUGGAAACGGUAGCUAAUACCGCAUACCAUCAGAUGAACCCAGAUGGGAUUAGCUUGUAGGUGAGGUAACGGCUCACCUAGGCGACGAUCCCUAGCUGGUCUGAGAGGAUGAUCAGCCACACUGGAACUGAGACACGGCCCAGACUCCUACGGGAGGCAGCAGUGGGGAAUAUUGCACAAUGGGCGCAAGCCUGAUGCAGCCAUGCCGCGUGUAUGAAGAAGGCCUUCGGGUUGUAAAGUUCUUUCGGUAGGGAGGCGUUACCUACAGAAGAAGCACCGGCUAACUCCGUGCCAGCCGCCGCGGUAAUUC
rnacentral:rRNA from 1 species